CUAUGGGACAGAGUAGUUUUACUAUUUAUAUUUAUAGUAAGGGGAAGUAGGUCGAUUGAAUUGAUCCCUAUCCCUACCAGUCUUUGGAACUAAAUGGAACCCGGUCUCUUUGAUAUGUAGUUCCCAUUGGCACUGACCCAGAAGAACCACAUCUGUCUCAAGCUCAAGCCGACCCAACCUGAAGAAAACUACUGAAUCAGAAUCCGCUCUUGGGAUAGGAAUUCAGCCAAUCUUUCCGCAAAAUUCCCGGGAAAAUGAAACUGUAUCGAUUUCAAUGUCCGUCUAUAGGCAAAAAUUGACUUGCAAUAAAAAAUACGGGGUUUUAGCGAGUUGAUCGAUUUGAAUGUCCGUUUAUGGGCAGAAAUCUAUUUGCAACUAAUUUUCCCGAGAAAACGUGAAAUAAAGAAAGGAGUGAAGUAGCCCAUGCGUAUAUGGGAUCCGAACGGUUAAGAGUUAUGGCUUUUCGUUGAGGACUUACCCCUUAAACUUAAGGAGCAUUCGACUGAGAUUAGAUUAGAUUAGUGGGUAGCACUUGUUGAAUUGAAUAAGAUGUUCUUGCUCAGAAUUAGGGAAGGUGGGAUCCUAUCUUUAGGAAAAGAAAGGCCUAACGAAAGCUAGCACUCUUUUCAAGCCUAUAGCCUAUAUAUGAAUUAUUCUCAGCCAUCCAUAUGGGAGUUCCCCGCCAGCCUGUGGGAGUGCCACUAUCAAUAGGAAACAGACUUCUUUCCUCCUUAUUCUAUCAAACAAGCAAUUAAAUACCUUAGGAUAUCUCAUAUUUUACAUUAUUAAUCUAGCAUUGGACUCUUACCUGGACUAAGAACACUUCUAGUUCUAACAAUACGUUUCAUAACGAGCUAAACGUGCUACCAAAUGAAAUGGUCGAAGGUCUUUUCAGUUCUCCUUCCAAUUGCUGCAGUACUAAGGCCAGUUCUUACAGUUGGAGUCCUAUCCUAAUAGAAUCCCUUACCAGCCGAGCUUCCCACUAUAAUAAGCGAGUUGGAGAAAAAAGGUAAACCUAUCCAAUAGCAGUCCUAUGGUAAGCAAGCUCAGGUUCAGUAUACAUAGGAUAUGCUUUUUCCUAUCUCUGCUCUGGUUCAGAACCCUAUAACUAACUAGGAUUCCCUGGUAGAGCCAUAGAUAAAGAUUCUUUUGAUGUCUUCUCCGCUUGAGACGGAAAGACGGCUGCUCUGUGAACAACCCUAGUUGCUGGUCCUGUUCCUGCUGCUAACUGCCACCUCUGCUCCAAUACAUAAAGCAGCUGAAGCUAUUGAUUGUAGCAGCUCCGUCCCAUUCAUCACUGCUUUAUGUUAAAAAGAAAAGAGCUGCUCCUCUCCGAUCUAAGCCCUCUCUCUAGUCAGAAAUAGCGUCAGUAAGUUAAUCAGGAUAGAUCGACAGGCCAGCAAAGGCCUUCUACCGCAGCGGGCCCACAGGCCUAUGCCAAUCUCUUAGGGCAGGUUCUCUUUCAUCCGUCUUUCCUAGGUGCGCAUCUCCAUCUACUAAAAGUAAGGGUGGUUACCAUAGAUAGAUUGGGUCAUUCGUAACCGAUGCUUUAGCAUAAACUACAGCUCUUUCAUCAACUACAGCAAUAUCCGAUGUAGCACAUUCUCCCUCUUUCGCAUAUCCGAUGCUUUGCAAGCAACCUUGGUGUCAGCAUCGUCACUUGAGUCAUCCUAGAACAACCCUGCCUAUUCAAAAGAAGUACCUCACCUCACUUACGAAGAAGUAGUGGGAGCUGGGCUCUCGAUUCAGUUGGAUAGCCAGUCUACCUAGGUAAGAGUUACGUCGACCCUGCAGGGUAUCCGAGAGGGGCACAAUGCAGGCUGGAGAUCAUCUGGUAAGGAGAAUCCCCAGGCUUUAGAUAGUUUAGAGGGACUAGGCAAUGAGCCCGGAUAAUCGAAUGGAACUCUUCUUUCUUUCAGAACCUUUCUAAGGUCAUAUAUGAAUAAAGGUUAUAUAUAAACGAUCUGACAGGACUCAAUGGAGUUGCUUUUAAAGCGAGCGAGUAGUCUUUGCCAAAGUUAGGGGCUGUCAGGACUUAGAUAGAAAUUUCACAAUGAGAGAAGUGUCAGAGUUCGAAUAGAAGGUAAUGGAGUGAAGUACGUAGCCCUUAGGAAAGUGCACGAGAAAAGGAAAAAGAGUUGUGAGUUUGACUUUCUCUUUUACCACAAUAAGCCGUGUAGUUACCGGAUCGGGACAAAGAGUCGGUUUAGUCGGAGAUAAACAGAGUCGGGUCGAUGAACAGAGCCGAUAUCGACACCGAAAUAUAUCACUGUCUUUGACGCUUCUAGGCAAUAUGCCAUCGAUUACCUCAAAACUACUUUGAAAUUCAGCAUGACAUAGGUACCUACUUCGAAUCUUCCUUGAGAGCUGGGAUAAGUACGGAAUUUCACUCUGGUGGAAUCGCUUCUAUCCUUAGCCCGGUACCGAGGGAGGGCUUUCCGAGACCAAUGCUAUCAAGAAGUCACUAGACUGACUAUUAUUGCAUCGAGAAAGAGUGAAA
rnacentral:lncRNA from 1 species